GAUGAACGCUGGCGGCGUGCCUAAUACAUGCAAGUCGAGCGAACAGACGAGGAGCUUGCUCCUCUGACGUUAGCGGCUGACGGGUGAGUAACACGUGGAUAACCUACCUAUAAGACUGGGAUAACUUCGUGAAACCGGAGCUAAUACCGGAUAAUAUAUUGAACCGCAUGGUUCAAUAGUGAAAGACGGUUUUGCUGUCACUUAUAGAUGGAUCCGCGCCGCAUUAGCUAGUUGGUAAGGUAACGGCUUACCAAGGCAACGAUGCGUAGCCGACCUGAGAGGAUGAUCGGCCACACUGGAACUGAGACACGGUCCAGACUCCUACGGGAGGCAGCAGUAGGGAAUCUUCCGCAAUGGGCGAAAGCUUGACGGAGCAACGCCGCGUGAGUGAUGAAGGUCUUCGGAUCGUAAAACUCUGUUAUUAGGGAAGAACAAAUGUGUAAGUAACUAUGCACGUCUUGACGGUACCUAAUCAGAAAGCCACGGCUAACUACGUG
rnacentral:rRNA from 1 species